rnacentral:rRNA from 1 species
GAUCCUACGGGGGGCAGCAGUGGGGAUAGUGCACAAUGGGGGGAACCCUGAUGCAGCGACGCCGCGUGGGUGAAGAAGCGUUUCGGCGCGGAAAGCCCUGGCAGCAGGGGAGAAGAUGACGGUACCUGACCAAGAAGCCCCGGCUAACUACGUGCCAGCAGCCGCGGUAAUACGUAGGGGGCAAGCGUUAUCCGGAUUUACUGGGUGUAAAGGGGGCGCAGACGGCGAUGCAAGCCAGGAGUGAAAGCCAGGGGCCCAACCCCGGGAC